rnacentral:rRNA from 1 species
UACAGGGGGGGCAAGCGUUGUUCGGAAUUACUGGGCGUAAAGGGCUCGUAGGUGGCCAACUAAGUCAGACGUGAAAUCCCUCAGCUUAACUGGGGAACUGCGUCUGAUACUGGAUGGCUUGAGUUCGGUAGGGGAGACUGGAAUUCCUGGUGUAGCGGUGUAAUGCGCAGAUAUCAGGAGGAACACCGGUGGCGAAGGCGGGUCUCUGGGCCGAUACUGACGCUGAGGAGCGAAAGCGUGGGGAGCGAACAGG